rnacentral:rRNA from 1 species
UACGGAGGAUGCGAGCGUUAUCCGGAUUUAUUGGGUUUAAAGGGUGCGUAGGCGGGUUAUCAAGUCAGCGGUAAAAUCGUGGAGCUCAACUCCAUCCAGCCGUUGAAACUGAUGAUCUUGAGUGGGCGAGAAGUAUGCGGAAUGCGUGGUGUAGCGGUGAAAUGCAUAGAUAUCACGCAGAACUCUGAUUGCGAAGGCAGCAUACCGGCGCCCGACUGACGCUGAAGCACGAAAGCGUGGGUAUCGAACAGG